rnacentral:rRNA from 1 species
AUGAAGUUAUGCACUGCACUAGCGAGCAGGGUAGUAAAGGCCACAUCAGCAGCAUCUCAUGUUGUUAUCAGAUGUGAUGCAGAGCUUCGCCGUGCUAGAAGAGUAGUUGAUGCUGCUGGCAGUGAUGAUGCAGCAGCAUUGGCAGCUCUAGAUGCUUCUGUCCGAUGUGAUGCUGCAUCUUUGGCAGCUCUACAAGCUGCUACCCGCUAUGAAGCAUUAGCUCAAGGAGCUAAUGCAAACCAUAGCGCAGACGCAACUGCACCAGCUCAACUAGCUCGAGAAGCUGCUGCUCGCUGUGAUGUGGAUGGUGCUGCUGCAGCAUCCCGAGCAGCAUUAAAGACUCUAGAUGCUUCUGUCCGAUGUGAUGCUGCAUCUUUGGCAGCUCUACAAGCUGCUACCCGCUAUGAAGCAUUAGCUCAAGGAGCUAAUGCAAACCAUAGCGCAGACGCAACUGCACCAGCUCAACUAGCUCGAGAAGCUGCUGCUCGCUGUGAUGUGGAUGGUGCUGCUGCAGCAUCCCGAGCAGCAAAUGCCUUUGCUGACAGCUGUGCUGCGGCAUGUGGCGAUGCAGAAAGAUUAACAUUGGCGGCUGGAGAAGCUGCUGCCCGCUGUGUUCUGGCACGUGACGACGCGGCAACAGCAUUAUUAUUGGUAGUUCGACAGGCUACUAUAACUACAAGGCGCCAUCUCAAGGCAUUCAGAGAAUCUGCCGACUCCCAUAAGGAAGCACGUAAAGAUGCAGUCGCAGCAGCGUUGGCUGUUCGAGAAAGCGCGGUUCGCUGUGCCGCGGCAAGUCGCCGUGCUGUGUUAGCAGCUUCGACAGCUCGAAAGAUCGCUUCCCGCUGUGAGGCAGCAGCAGCUUCGAAAGCUAGAGAAGCUGCCGCCGGUUGUGAUUUGGCACUGGCCGAUGCAAUAGAAGAUGGUGAUAAAGAGUUUGUGGACAAGAUGCGUGGUUGGCUCAUGACGGUGGCCACGCUCUUUGUGGGCAUAGCAUUCCAAGCAUUGCUGCAUCCGCCAGACGGGAUGUCCUUUGACAUACUAGUAAGUAAAAAUGCUAGGAAUUGGAAGGCAGGUCCUGGUGCUCCUUCGCCUGCUCCCAAUCUCGCUCCAUCUUCUGCAGCAACUGUGGUCAAUGCCACGCCCACCUAUGAUUGGGUAAGAGCGUUUUGUUACUUGACUUUCAACACAACUAUUAUGGCGUUUGCACUCAUCGUGCUGGUAUCGCUUCUGACCAUGAAAAAGGUCGCGUCUACAUAUAGCCUCGUUCAAAUAAAAGCUAUUGCAAUGACCCUCGUCAUUGCUGUUGUCGGUUCCGUGGUCACCGGUACAUCGAGAAACCUGGGUGUUCAACUAAACAUCCUUGGCAUCUUCGGUAUAUACGGCUUUACAUUAUUAAUCUUUGUUAAAUCUAGAGGUGUUUGA